CUCAAACAGAUGGGGGCAUACUGGGCCUGAGAAGAAGAAGUUAUCUAAGGGCCCACGCGUGCGGCAUGAUGAGAUAUCCCUGAUUAAGAAAUGUAGCCUGGCUGUAAUGCCUCCUGGAAGACUAAGUCAAUCGAAACGUUGGUUUUAGUUUACAGUUGUUGCAGAUGCAAAGACCGCAUGUACUCUGGCUCCUGUAGAAACUCCAGGAACAUUAAGUAAGACCAAAGUCUCACACCUUAAAUGCAGCAACGCUUGCAGUUUCAGACUCUCAGUGAAGUGUCUGCGUCCUGAGCAGUGACCCAGCACCUACACACCCCUCUGCAGCGAUGUCCACCCACAGUUGAGGGGUUCAUGUAGCACAGCUGUGCUACAAGCUUCUUCUGCAAGCUUCAGAGCAAACCUAAGUGUUUAGGGGCCUACAGGACCAAGACUCAUUCCACAGAAACUGAGAAGGUGUGGGUGCAAGGUACUGAGUCAUUUACAAAAGGUUUAUUUUGCAUGCAAGAUGAGAACCAGAAUGCGAAAACAGAAUUGGAAACUGUCACACAAGAGAAAGAAGACAAUUUGUGUCUAGGUGAUGUAUUUCUUGCUCCUAAUGGCCAUUGCCAUAGUGAGGGCGGUGGAUUCCUGACAGGGAGAAAAAAGGAAAAGAUUGCAGAGCUGUGGGAUAGCUGCACCUACCCAGAAUGGAGCAGAAGAGGGGUGGGGUGAGCACGAAGCUUGGUGCGCACAAGAAUGUGGUCCACUCUCCAAACAUGUGCAGGCAGCUCCCCAAGCGCAAUGCAGGCCCCACCACCGUGCGUUUCCUUGUACGAUAGACACCAAACGUCAACCACGCCUACUUAUGAGUAUGAAGUGUUUUCGCCUGGGCACGGUGGCUCACGCCUGUAAUCCCAGCACUUUGGGAGGCCGAGGCGGGUGGAUCACGAGCUCAGGAGAUCGAGACCAUGGUGAAACCCCGUCUCUACUAAAAAUACAAAAAAUUAGCCGGGCGUGGUGG
rnacentral:lncRNA from 10 species